rnacentral:rRNA from 1 species
AGUCAACAUGCCCAGGGGACGUGGAUAACCUCGGGAAACUGAGGAUAAACCGCGACAGGCCAAGAUUUCUGGAAUGAAUCAUGGUUUAAAUCUAUAUGGCCCCUGGAUUGGACUGCGGCCGAUCAGGCUGUUGGUGAGGGAAUGGCCCACCAAACCUGUAACCGGUACGGGCUCUGAGAGGAGGAGCCCGGAGAUGGGCACUUAGACAGGGGCCCAGGCCCUAUGGGGCGCAGCAGGCGCGAAACCUCUGCAAUAAGCGAAAGCUUGACAGGGUUACUCUGAGUGAUUUCCGCUAAGGAAGUCUUUUGGCACCUCUAAAAAUGGUGCAGAAUAAGGGGUGGGCAAGUCUGGUGUCAGCCGCCGCGGUAAUACCAGCACCCCGAGUGGUCGGGACGUUUAUUGGGCCUAAAGCAUCCGUAGCCGGUUCUACAAGUCUUCCGUUAAAUCCACCUGCUUAACAGAUGGGCUGCGGAAGAUACUAUGGAGCUAGGAGGCGGGAGAGGCAAGCGGUACUCGAUGGGUAGGGGUAAAAUCCGUUGAUCCAUUGAAGACCACCAGUGGCGAAGGCGGCUUGCCAGAACGCGCUCGACGGUGAGGGAUGAAAGCUGGGGGAG